UUUAAAAAAAAAAAAAAAUUGACGAUAUUAAAAAUUCAUUGCUAAAUUACCAAUUGAAUUAAAAAUCUAUUGACAAUGGCUUGUGAAAAAAAAUCCUACUUGUUUUUAAUUAGUAAUAAAUUUAUAAUCAUAUGAUAAGUGACUUUAUAUAAACCGAUAAUGUAUAAAAAUAAGAAUUUUCAAGAUACUGACACAUGUAUACGUGAUUGAAAAAGACGCGUGAAUCUCUCCAUCUAAUCCAACCGGAUUAUAUAAAACCUGACCUACAGCGCACAAAUAUUACAUCUUUAGUGCCACCAAUUUUUUUUACACCCAGAAUGAGCAGACCGAUCACUCUAGUGAUUGUACCACACAUAAGAACUUAAUUCGGAGCUUACCGACCUCAGAAAGAGGUAGACAUGUCACCAAGAUGAGACAACGACCUCUCAUACUAUGGAUGACAUAUUUAGUCUCCUCUAGAGUAUUAAAUAAGUGUGCAGAAAACUUGAUUACUGUGACAUACACGAUAAGCAGGAUAUGGAUUAAACAUGUCAUCCAUUAAAAUACGACACACUAAACAAGAAGGCUCACAUAAGAUCUAAUGGGACUUGACAUAGGAGACCAUCAGAAUAACCAACCAGUAUAUAUAUCGCUAAUCUAAUCCAAAAUAAAGGGGCUGAUACUCUCUCUCUUUAUCUGAAGAACUAAUUUUUUAAAAGUUAGUCUUUCUCUUCUCUGUGCCUCUGCAGAAGAAUCCUAAAGCUACAUGCCUUCUGAGAGUUUUCUCUUGAAUGCUUGAUUAUUUCUUUUCUCUUUGCAUUAGUGAAUUUUGAAUAAUCCUUAAUUUAAUAUGAGUGCCGGAGGGUCUCCACCGAAUACAUUUCCAAUAGAUUCCUUAAUCGCUUUCUACUUUUUUUUUGAAAUAGGGGUUGGGGGAAUCGCUUUCUACUUUAUAAGUCCCCUUCCUCAACAUCAAACAUGGAGAGAUCUAAUGAAAUCAAUUACGGAUUAACGAUCAAUCUGUGAAAUCGAGCCGCUAUCUAGAUGUCCGCAUCUGGACAACUCACUAAAUCUCAGACAUAUCAUAAAUUCAAUUUUUUUUUCUUUAUUUUUGUGCACUCUUCUUUUUUUAUCAGUUCAUUUAUUCUCAUUUUCAUUAUUUUCAUUUUUAUCAUUGUUUUCUCAUAUUCAUCUUCCACCAUAUUUCAUCAAAAUUUUUUAUCAAAUUUCCCUCUUUGUUUUCUCGUGUUCUUCAUUUUUAUUGAACUUUUUGCUUAUCAUUAUUUUGCACCUCAUUUUCAUUUUCUUUCAUUUUUUUCUACAAUUUUCCCUUAUAUUAUUUUUCUUUAAUAGUAAGAUAGUAUAUUUUCUAAACUUUUAGAAAAAUUCUUUGAAAUUGUAUAAAUUUUUGAUAUUUUUCUAAAAGUUUUUAUGAAUAUAUUUGUUUAAUGAUUUUAUUAGCAUAUGUAAGUGUCCCGUUAAUUGCUUCUAUUUUAAAUUAAUAUAAAAAUUUAAUAAAUUUUUUUCACUCGUGAUUAAAUCUAAAACAUGAAAAAUUUAUCAAAGGUAUACUCAAAAUCAAACAGAUUUACCUUACUAAUAUAUUAUUUUUAUCUCAAAUUAAUAUUGAAUUUUUUUAAAAAAAAGCCUUCUUCGUUCCCUAUAACACGUGAUCUUUACUUUCAAUUUAUAUUUUAUUAAUUUUUCUUUAAAACACAUGACAUAUUUAAAUAUUAUUAUCUUAUUGAAUAAGUUCAAUAAAUUUAAUUUUAUAAAAUAAAUAAAAAAUUAAAAGGAAAGAAAUAGAAAAAACAAUGAAUCUCAAUUUAAUUCAAUUUCUGCUUAAAAUUAAUUUGAUUUCUUAUUAAUAAUUAAUAAUUUAACAAUAAUAAUUCUAAAUAAUGCACUAAUUUUAAAAUUAAAAUACACUUUAUAUUUUAUAUAUUUCAAUAAUUUUCUUUCCAAAUUUAAAUUAAUCUAAGAAUAUUUUACAAUGAGUGAAAUAUUGUAAUCAUUUAUUACUAAAGGUUUUAUAUUUAUUUCUUAAUGAGUAAAAUAUUUUUUUAGAUGAUUUUUUUUAAUUAAAAAUUAUUUUUAUUAUUAUUUUAAUAAUAAUAAUUAAAAAUUAUUAUUUUAAUUUUUAAGAAAUGAUGAAUUUGUGAGUUUUAUUCAUUAUUUUUUAAUUGAAUAAUUUUAAUUUUUAAAUAUAUAAAAUUAAUAUUUUGCAUAAAAAUUAAUAAUGAAUCAUUUAAUUUUUUUUAAAAAUUAAUUUUUAUGUUAUGUAAGUAUAAAAUGACAGAUUUAAAAAGUAAAUAUUAAUUUUUAUACUUAAUUAAAAAAUUAAAAAUUAAUUUUAUGCUUAAAAGUGUAUUUAAAUUGUUUUUUAUAUGUAUAAAAUUUAACUAUAAUUAAAAAUUAAUUUUUAUACUUAUAUAUUAUAAUUAGAAUCUGCAUAAAUUAAUUUUUAUAAGUAUAAAAAUUAUAGAAUAUCAGUUUUUAUAUUUUAAAAAUUAAAAUUAUUUAUAAUGAUAAAAAAUAUAAUAUAAUAAUAAAUAAAAACCAUAAAUUUAUCAAUUUUUAAAAAUUAAAAUAAUAAUUUCUCAAUUAUUUAUUAUUAAAACAAUAAAUAAAAAUAAUUUUUUAUUAAAAAAAUUGACCACUUCAAAAAAUGUUUUGGUCAUUAAAAAAUAUAAAAUCUUUAAUUAAUGGUCAACUGACAAUAAUUUAUACCUCGGAAGAAUUAUUUUAUUAAACAAAAAUUAAAUUUAAGUACUAAUUUAUUAUUAAAAAUUUAUUGAAAGAUUAUUUGAUGAGUUUUGUGGGAUGGCUCCAUUUAAAUUAUUUAUUUUUAAUUAUUAUUUAAAUAAUAUUACUGGCCUAUUCAAAGCCUGUUCAUGUUAAAUUGAUUUACAUAUUUUAUCUAAUUUAUAUAAUUUUUUAUUAGUUAAUCAAUAAAUAAUUAUUUUAUAUUUAAUUAAAUAUAUUAAAUUCUAACUUUACUUCUCUUUUUUAGUUUGAAUCUAUUAUUAAUUAGAAUUAUUUUUUUAAUUUAAAAAAAAAUAAAAAUUAAACAUAUUUUUACACUUAUAGUAUAUUUUAUAAAUAUAUUAUUUUAUUUUUUAUAAUUAUUUCAGGUACAAUAAUAUUUUAAUUUCUGUAAAAUUAAAAUUAACCACAUUUAUGAAAAAAAUUCAAAUUAAUAUAUAUAAAUUAUUUUAAUUUUAAUUCAAAUUAAUUUUAUGACAAGUUAAUGGGUGAUUUUAAUUGGAUUGAAUGAUUUGGAAUUUAAAGUAGAUAUUGGGGAAGGUAAAAAGAGGAAAAAUAAUAGUAGGGGAAAGCUGUAAAAGUAAAAUGUAGUAAAUAUUUGCAAGGCUUUGAAUACAUGGAAAGCAACAUCUGCGUCCUGGCUCUCUUUAUUGUCUUUCGCAGGAAAAGGAAAGCUAACAUGUCCCCAUUCAGAAAAUCAAAGUCUGCCAUUUUUUCUUUUGGUUGGAGAAACAAAGCAAGCAAGCAAGAAAGAAAUCAGUGAGAGAGAGUGAAAAUUACACUAACACACCCAGACUAUCACUUAGCAUGAUAAGGUUACAAUAUCACGACGUGCAUGUCACGCGACACUCAGAAGCACUGAAUAAUUGCUCUCAGAGGGGGAAGGAUUAAGCAAUAAGCAUAGCAUGCAAUGCAAAGGAGUGGAGAGAAAGAAAAGAAAAGAAAAGAAAAGAAAACUUGGAAAGCUAAGUUGCGCAAGUCCUAGAAAAGGACAAUGGCAGUGAGACAGAGGGCUGCAUGUAAUAAUAUUAUCGUCUUCAUCGAUCAUCUUCUCCUUUUAUCUGUGAAAAACGUGAAAGCCACCAAUCGUUGGCGCAUGAUCCAAGAUAAUCAUUUAUCAGUCACACUCUACCCUACCCAAAAAUAUCCUCUCUAUAUGGGAAAAUUUUUUAUUUGGACAUUUUAGUUUCAGACACUGUGUGUGUGUGUGUGAGAGAGAGAGAGAUUUGUAUAUGAAAUGAAUGCUACAUUUAUGGUGACGAGAGACAUUUCAUUACAGGAACUGCCAAGUUGUUAUUGUUGUUGCUUCAUUUGUCUUACUUAUAUUUGACAGCUUUGAUGCCUCCAAUAUUUCUCCAUCUUCUUGUAGGCCACCCAGCCCAGAAACCCUUCCUUUUUCAUUUAUGCUUUGUUCUGUGUUUUAUGUGUUUAAGGACAUACCUACCUUUAAAGUCCUAAUUAGCCCUUGAAAAUAGACUUUAGGACCAUGCUUUUAGAAGAGGUUUUAGGGUAAGGAUUAUCACUCUUCUCCUAGGUUUCUGUUUUUAUUUUUCUUUUUUCCCGGCUUUCUAGUUGCUUUUCUUUAAGAGCUGAGAUGUCACCUAAUUUUACAUAUGAAGUGAAUAAGAGAAUUCAGAAAAUUUUUAGUGUCAUCAUCAGCUUAGCAAAUCAAAAGUAAAAUAAACUUAAUAUUUUAUGUGUUGACAGCAUUCACUGGUACGAAUGCAAGACAAGUUAUAUUGAACAUGAAUGAUUUUUUUUUUUUUUUCUUUUGUAAGUUGAUCAUGAUUGAUUGCGCAUGGUUUGAUACAAAAGAAAAGGGUCCCAUUGAAUUAAAAAGGGAAGUACCCUACACACUCUAUAUUCCAUAAAUAACAAGACAGAAGAGGACAGCACAGUAUUUGCUAUGAUUGAUGUUACUGAAGAGUCUCAAUUUUAGAAGAUGGCCAAUCACAUUAUCGUCUUCAUUCUGCAACUCAUAUGGGUUUAAUAUUCCAAUGAAUUUCACUCCAUAUAUACCAAAUUCAAAAAUAAAAUGAUUGUUCAUUUGCAAGCAAGGUUACCCAUAUGGAUUUUCCCAUAAAAAAAAAGUCAUUAACUUUUUAAAAAAUCAAGAAUAAAUAUCAACUAAACAGACACAGUUAUCAUUUUUUUUUUUUUUAAUUUUAAGUUUUUUAACUAGUUAGAAAACCAACCAAAAAUUUUUGGAAAAAGAAAGCCAGGAGUGGGUUAUGGAUCACACCAACUAAGCUAAUGGUAGGGCCUAUAGCACUUUUUUCUCUCUAGUGGUGAUUACGACUUGGCAAGUGGAGCAAGAGGGAGUGUCAAUAUCAACACUCAACCUUGAAAUUGGGUUAUGAAACUUUCUCUAAUUUAUAUGCUUUUUAGAUAAAAAAUUUUUUAAAAAAAUUCCAACAUUCUGUUAUUCCUUCCAGAAAUCAAAAUUCCCUUUUUCAUAAAAAUCCCAUAUCCCUUCUCUGAAUCAUUAUUUGGGAAUGAUCAUCACCUACUAGCAGUUUCAAUUCCUUGGACAAAAAGAAAAAUGGCUAAAUCACAAACCCUAAUUCCAUAUAUCUAACUAGGGAAAGUACACUCACUUGGGCAAGUCCAAAGAUCUGUUUAAAAGGCAUUAUUAUGAGAUUAUCAAUAAAAAAAAACUGCUUUAAUUAUUAUGUCAUGAAAAAAUUGGACUACUCUCCCAAAUUCUUGGAAAUAAGCUCUAUUGGCCUUAACAAGAACUAGAACACAGCAAUUUUAGACUUGUGUAGAAACUAGGUAGCUAUAGCUAAUAACAAGAACUAUAAUGAGAGGUGAGGUCAUUGCUUAGCCAAUCUCUUUGUGAUAUUGAAAAUAUUGCUUUUCUUUUUCUUUUCUUAUUUUUUUUUUUAUAUACAAGGAAAAGCUAUUCCAAUUGCUAUUCUCUUUCAGUCAUUUUCUAUGUUUAGCUGUAGAGUGUCACUGUUUGUCAAAACAGUGGCUACAUGCACACACCCAAUUCAUCUCCAACACAUACUGCCUGGAGCUUUCUCCUUCCUUUCAAGUUGCUCUACUUGAUUCCUACCUUUUCUAUAUCUCACUUUGAUUGCUUCUCUUUCUCAUACAUUUUCUUCAGUAAUCAAGUUUUUUUGAUCUUGUUAUAUUUUUAACUAUAUUGUUUUUUAAUUCCAUGGAGGUUAAUUCAAUGAUUCUUAUAUUUAAUUAAGACUUAGCAACUGUGCAGUAUGUAUGAUUAAAAAACAUAAUAGGUAAUAAAAAGAAAAGAGCUUAUAUUCAAAUUCUAAAGUUAUUUGAAAGUUAUAGAAUUUAGCAUCCCUCUUUGCAACUGUGCUCCAGUGAUGCAACAGGGCCAAGUACGUCCAGAUAUGGUGACCUAAGAGCCCACGUCACUGAUUCUUGCCUUUAUUUUGAGGGAAAUUGGCCAUUUUUCAAAUUGGGCUUUGUAUAAUUUCUAGAAUUGGGCUCAUCUUGUAGGACCCUGCCCAGCUUAUUCUGAAUCUCUAGUUUCUUCUCUCUGAUCUGAUUUUUGGGUUUUAGGGUUUCACAAUGAUUCACUGUGUAGAUUUACAUCAGAGAAGAUUAUCAUUUAGUCCUUUAGCUUAAAGUAAAAAGUCAGAUUUGCUCCCUAAGAAUACUGCGGGAAAUCCUUCACUAGUUCCUCGUGCAAUGCACAUGCAUCUGUAAGCAAUGGCGCCCUCUCAUUACUAACCCUAAUUUCAUUUCCACCCACCUCCUCCCCAACCCUUCUCCUCCCACAUUGGCUCUCCGACCGCCGUCAUUUCCUCGUUAAUUACCAAAACGCCUCCCCUGGAAAGAGGUUGUCUGGAGGGAGAUUAAAGCUGACAACUUCGAGGAUUCCAUCUGAGAGAUCUGGGGUCACAGUGUUCUAUGAAUGAAAGUUCAAUGUUUGGUAAUUAAUUACAUCAACAAAAUAAUUUAUUUGUUUAAAAUUCUUUAUUAAUUAGUAAAAGUUAAAUAAUUAAAAAUUCUUCUCUAUUUUUAAUUGAAUUAAUUUGAUUGUUAUAUUUUUUAAACACAUAAUUUAGUAAAUUAAAUUAGAAUUUAUAAAAAAAUAUUUUUAUUUCACUAUAAAGAAUUUGAUUAUUUUUAUUAAUUUGUGUAAUUCAUGAACUUGCUUAAGCUAACUAUAGUGAUUGAGAUUUUUUUUUAUUUUUUGAUUAUAUUUCUGAGUUAAUUGUUAUUGAAAUUUAAUAAAAUUUAUGUUUUUAUUAAAAAAAUAAAGGAUUUGAUUUUUUUUAUAAUAUGCUAUUAUUUUUAAUAAAAUUUUAUAUUUUAUUAUGAAUAUAUUUUUAUAUUAACAUCUAUAUAUUCACAAAUAAAUUAAAAAAUAUAUACAUAUAUUAUAGAAUUAUAAAUUAUUCUCAUUCAAAUUUAAUAUAUAUUUUAUAUCAAUUUAUAUUAUUAGUCUUCUGAUUGAAUUUUUAUAUUGGAGGUAGUGUUAAAUACUACCAUAAAAAUAUUUUUGUUAAAUUACAUAAAUAUUUAAAAAUUUGAAAUAAUAUCUUAUUGUAAUUUUAAAAUAACGAGGAUAAUAAUAAUAAUAAAAGAAAAUUACUAGAUUUGGUAACUUUGUCAUGCUGACUUGGCUAUUUGCUUAGUCAACAUAUAGAGCUCCGAAACCUAUAAUUUCUUCACAUUUGCCUCCUUGGAUCCUAAGACUGGGCGCCAUUUUUUUAUUUUUCCUUUUUCUGCAAAAACCUGACAUGAAAAUUUUCCCUUUCCCUCUCUUUCCCAGAAAAAGAUUUUCAACUAAAAAAGAAAUGAAAUUUCAAUCCACCCGCCUACGCACUCAAACUCAAAAUCCAAAUCCCAAAACUCAAAAAUCAAUUUUACCAUCAUCCCUCCAAAUCCAAAGUGAACAAAUUCAUCUCUACCUCACUACAUAUACUCUUCCUCUACCUCUUGAAUCCUUCACCAGCUGCUCGACAAAUUUACCCAAUGGAGUUCACCGCCAAACUCUGUGACCACCACAGCAACAAAGAGAAUAUCCCACCUUUCUCUGCAAAACCAGCCAACCCAAUUCCUGCAAGUGUGGCUUCUUCCAAGAAAAAGUUCAGAAGAAGGAUUAGAGAGCCUCUUGAGGACAUUACAUACUUCUAUAGAAGUUCUGUUCAGUUAGCUUUAGCUCAGGAGGAUGAUUCUUUGUCAGCUAUAUCUGUUUCAGGUAGUGCAUCAAAUUCUAAGAAGAGAAAAGCAUCUGAUCAGGAGAAUGAAGAUACAGGAGCUGUUGCAGGCCCCAGCUCUAAGUCAUUAAGAUUUGGAUUCAGAUAGGAGAUGGUUGCCAUUGUUGGGCUAGAUUGCUAAUUGGGUAGGUGGAAAAAUUCAUAAUCUAGAUUUUAGAUUUAAAUUCAAAGGUUGAAAACCCAUCAACAAUUGUUCUAUAUACAUACAUCAUUACAGAUUUAAAUUCAAAGGUUGAAACAUUUACAUUCUAAUUUUCAUACUAGAUUUGAAUCUGAAAUUAGUUUUUCAAAAAUUCUAUGAUAUCAGAAAGCACUAAAUUUCUUAGUGAGAGAAAAUAAAAAAAAGACAAUUAACCGUUUAAUAAAGCUGUACACGAACAGAGAUCAAUACCAUUUUUAAUUAAUUUAAAGUAAAUUAAAGCUUACAUAUUCAAGGAAGAUUGCUUGAUGCUGUACGUAUAUACGUACACAUCAUAGCAUUAGCAAUACAAGUGGCUAAGAUACAGACAAAUUAGUAAGAAUAACUUCACAUGUGGAUAUGAAACUUAGGAUUCUUCGAGAAAUUCAUAAGACACAUUGGGUGCUGGGAUGGCUUUGGCAAUUGGUGCUGAUUGAGCUCAGCUGAGUGUACAAUACAUCGUCUUAAUUAACUAGCAUAAUGAUGGCAGCACCACCUGCAUUCAUAUAGUAAUUAGUUCAAAAUAAUUAAUUAAUAAGUACACCAUUGAUAUAAUACAGUAGAAGUGUAGUUUUGGUUAUAGGUAAUUACGUAUACAAGUGCCUUAGUGGGCUUUCAAUAAAAUAUUAUAUCUUAGUCAAAACCUUAUCUUCAAUUAGUUUUCUUCCUAUACUUUUAGGAUAAUGGAUAAAACAUCACCUAGUUUUCUUCCCACCACAAAAUCAAUAGCAACAGCAAUAGUUUGAGUGAGCUCUAUCGUUCUCUCGCAUUAAUCUCCGUCACUGUGGAAUGAAAAUUAUGAGAUGAAAAAGGGUAUAAUUUAAUGAAAAUUUCAAGGCUACAGGAGCACUACACUAAACAAAUUGGUGAGUGCCAUGUAUGGAUAACCUUAUUACUUAUCAAUCAUUUAUUGGUCAACUGUAAAACAUUACUACAAAUUGUUUGAUAUUUAUCCCUUGAUUGAGUAAAGUUCUCUUCCUAAUUUUCUAACAAAUAGCUACAUUAGUAGCACAUAGCUGAUAUCCGCUGGUGAAUUUUACUUGUAAAAUUAGGUAUUUGAAUUCUAGACUUGUCAUUGUUGAUGAAAGUAAUUUAUUUAGAUACUGCUUCCAAGAACUCAAAUUUCAGUGAGUCAUUUCAUGAAAAAAAGAAAAAAAGAAAAAAAAUGAUAUUUGCUUUAAUAUCACUUGGAUUCAUAGUGAAUCGGAUCCAUUUAAAUUUUUUUUUUUUUAAAAAGUGCUCUCUUAAUUUUAAUUAAUUGCAUAACUUGCAAGACCAACCAACCCUAGUUUUCAUCUCAUUCCCCAUUUCUCUCUGUGUUGCAUGCGUAUUCAUGUGACUGCAACUUUGCUCGAAUUUAAUUGCUGAUUAGUGGCGAUCAUAGUCAUCUAAAUUGAAUCCUUAAUGAUGUUCACAAAAAUCCAAAGAACUAAAAAAGUUCUUGCCUUUGGAGCUAUACUAAAAGAUAAUACAAACAACAGCUGCUGAACUCAAAAGGUUUUGACAUCAUAAACAUUGAACAUAGUUGACCUUUCGGAGCUUACAAGGUUGAAGGCAAGCUCAAAACUUCCAUUCUUAUGAGCUCUUCAGCAUCACAAAGUGUUAAACAAGGACAAAAAGAAUAAGCAGAUGAUGACUAGACACACACUCAUGGUUAAGGACUUGAGAAUCCUCUCAAGGAUUAAUGGAAUAUUAAUGAAUCUCUAUAUACCCAUGAAAAAAAAGUUUCUAAAUUUAUAUUCAGUUAAGGAAAUCAAUCUAACUUGGUGAAUCAGAAAGCUCAUAACUGAAUAGAUAUUGGCUGCACAUGCAUGUACAUGAACUUCAUUCUUCUUGUACUAUUAGGCGACAUUGGCCACCACCCACCACCACAAAACGAGAAAAAAGCAACAGGGUAUGCUCAUUUCGCCAAUAUAUUCUGACUCCACUUAUUAUAAAUAAUGGGUUAGAGGAUUCUUUCAACUAUUAUAUAAGGGAGGUCUUCUUUGAAUCUCUGCACAAACUAGCCUUUUUUCGAGACCUUUAGCUGUAGCUGGCUAGCUAGAAGAGGCAGUGAAUUAACAAUGGCGAGUUAUUUGAAGUUUUGGGUUUACAUUGUUAUCUUCUUGCUUCCAUUUGCCGAGUUAGAAAGUAGAGUUCUUGUGCCUUACGCUGAUCAUCGCCAUGAGAGGAAGAACUUGACCACAGUUUUUCAAGAACUGCAAGAAAUAUCAAAAGCAUUGAAGGUGAGAUUGGAGAAUGAAAUGGCGGAUGGAGAAUACUUUAACGAAUCUAAGAGGAUUAGUCCAGGAGGUCCAGACCCUAAACAUCACUAGAUAUUGAUCACCCUUCAUCGAUCUUCUUUAUGCUUUUUUUUUUUUAAAAAAAAACACUCUUCUUUAUACUUUGAAGAAGUUGAAACAGAGGGAGAUGAAUGGAAGUCAACGUGAGGUCUAAUUUCUUUGGCUUAAUUAAGGUUUAGUUUAUGACGUCAAGUCAUUGACUUUUAAUGCUAGCUUUGUAACCUCGUGUUCUAGUGGAAAAGUUAAAAAGAACAGAAAAUUAUCUCCCUUUUGUGCUUAAUUAAUUAAUUGAUUGACGAUGCGGAUAUCUUGA
rnacentral:lncRNA from 1 species